AAUUAAACAUAUGAUUUGUAACCAUGAUUUGAGAUCGGUCAGUGUGUCACGACCCAGCGAAGAGGUCACUUCCAAGGCUUGCUCUGGAGAGCAUGUCCACCUCACACUGGUUGGGGUGCGCCCCCUUCAUGUCAGUCCUGAUUUAGUUGGUCGUCCCUUCAGAGCACGUCAGUCAUGAAAUUUAUUUGUUGUGAGUAAAAAUAUCAAAAAUGAUCGAGAUGAUGUAAGGUGAGGUGCGCCCACCGGGUGCACAGUAGUCCUUGGAAGCAUAUUGGAAUUCAGUGCUUGCGGCUUUUUCGAAAACCCUUCGAUUGUUCUGAGGACGGAAAUCGGACGACCGGCUGCCAGUGAAGUUUUGAAAUUGACCUCAACCGCCUCUAAAUCAGAUGUCACCGGCCAACUCUGGACAAUAAAGACUACAAAAACCCCCUACAAAAAAAUCUAAAGAUCGCCAAAAUUCUUCGUUUUGAAAUUAUCCCCUUUAGGCUCUAAAUUUUUCAGAUUAUUUUUUCUCCCUUUCGGCAAUUUGGUUCUAAAUUUUUUUUCCUAAAAAUAAUGCAAAUUCUCGUCUUAUUUUAAAAUUCUUGUUUCGGCUUAUCAAAAUUAUUAGUUUUACUUUUCGGCUUUUUAUGUUUUGGAAAAUAUAUUGUUACUUUUCUUAACAGUAGUGAAUUUUUUAUUUGACUUUAGCUAGUUUAGUUUGUUUUUUAAUAUUAGCCAUGUGUUUUGUCAUCUGUGGUUGGCAAGAACAAAUUUUAUUUCAUUCAAUUCAACUAGGACAGAAAUACAUUUUUUCACUUCAAAAGGUAAGAAAAAUAAAAAGUGUGAUAAACAUAAAGGUACUGCCAGUUUUCAUACUUCUAUAAUGUCAGGAUACUAUUUUAAGACUUCAACUUCAAAAUUUAGUUUAACUAGUACUUUGUCACAUGUAGCUACAUAAAUUAGAAAAUUUAGAGUAGUAGUUCGAUUACAACGUGCAUUGUUACUGGUCGGAACGAGAGCAAAAAAAAGCUUAUGCAUUGAAAGGAAAAAUUGUAACAUUGUGUCAAUGGGUGGACCAAGAUUGAUUAACCACGAGGAUAGACGGUAUUGUAGUUGAGGUAGCCCCUCAGGGAUACAAAGGACCCACGGGUAAGGGAAAACUACGACGGACAAUUACCUGGAGGCAGCUUAGAUUUGAGCAUGUCCAUGGCGACGACGUUGAUGAUAAGCACCCAGAUCGGGCAUUCCAGGAGGUCCGGGUCGGAUUUGACGAACGCCAAAGCGCUCAGGCACUGGCAUUCCAGACGCCUUCGGUCCGGAUACGCGCGCCUCAACUCUCUUGAUACGUUGGCUUGGAAUUUCUUCAUAUCGAAGAGCUGAAAAAAAAAAGAAAGAAGACAGGUAAUGAGAAAUUCA